rnacentral:rRNA from 1 species
AAGGGCGCACGGCGAAUGCCUUGGCACUAGGAGCCGAUGAAGGACGGCACUAACACCGAUAUGCUUCGGGGAGCUGUAAGUGAGCUUUGAUCCGGAGAUUUCCGAAUGGGGGAACCCACUACGUUUAAUCGCGUAGUAUCUUGACGUGAAUACAUAGCGUCUUGAUGGCAGACCCAGGGAACUGAAACAUCUAAGUAACUGGAGGAAGAGAAAGAAAAAUCGAUUCCCUGAGUAGCGGCGAGCGAAACGGGAAGAGCCCAAACCAAGAGGCUUGCCUCUUGGGGUUGUAGGACACUCUAUAUGGAGUUACAAAAGAGCGAGUUAGAUGAAGCGACUUGGAAAGGUCCGCCAGAGCAGGUAAAAG